GCUGCUGGAAUUAUGGGUGUGCACCACUGUGCCCGGUAUAUAUAUAUAUGUACAUAUAUAUAUAUAUAUAUAUAUAUAUAUAUAUACAUAUAUAUAUAUACCGGGCACAGUGGUGCACACCCAUAAUUCCAGCAGC
rnacentral:miRNA from 1 species